CGGAAAUAUUAAUGUAAACGGCCGCCCUAGCGUGAGGGUGCUAAGGUAGCGAAAUUCCUUGCCUUUUGAUUGUAGGCCUGCAUGAAUGGUUUAACGAGGGUUUAGCUGUCUCUAAAUUUUUAAUUGAAAUUGUAUUGAAGGUGAAGAUACCUUCAUUUAAAAGUUAGACAAAAAGACCCCGUGCAACUUUGAAAAUUAACUUUAUUCAGGGGUAAAAGAUUUUUAGGUGGGGCGCCUAGAAAGUAAGCCUAACCUUUCUGAGUAAGAGUUUCUUUCAGGAGUUGACCCGAUUAUAUUCGAUCAUAGGAGAAGUUACGCCGGGGAUAACAGGCUAAUCCUUUAGUAGAGCUCGUAUUGGCUAAAGGGAUUGGCACCUCGAUGUUGAAUCAGGGAUGAUAGCUUCAAGGCGUAGAGGCUUUGAGAGUAGGUCUGUUCGACCUUUAAUACCCUACGUGAUCUGAGUUCAGACCGGGGAG
rnacentral:rRNA from 1 species